AGGUCGGAGGUCACUUGCUGGUGGGCUUGUAUGGGUCGGACAAGACCUUGACCCAUACAGCGCCACAGGGAAACAACAAAGACAAACGAAAGACAUGCCUGUCCUCAGAAAAUGGUGGUGCACAGUACUGCUUGAGAACUUCCAUCUGGAUGGGCACGGCAGAAGGUUCCCACACUUCAUGGAGGAGGCCAAAGAAAUGGCGGCUGAGCUACUUCCACCAGUCUUCAGACUGAAGCGAAAAAGAGAAGUGAAUGACGUUUCCAGUGACAGAAUACAAAUAAUAUAUUGUAUAGGCUUAAUAUUGAUUUGACUGUUUAAUUCUUUUGACAGUGAGUUGAAGCUGAUGGCAGUCAGCUUGAAGAAGCUAUAUAUUUUGGCUUCUGUAGAUUAUUUGUUUAAUAAAUUGUGAGGAAACUUUGGUGUGGUUAUUCUUCAAUGUAUAUUUAUAUCAAAUUAUGAUGGUAUACUUUACAAAAAAAUAAAUUUGAUUCAAUUAGACAUAU